AACGAACGCUGGCGGCAGGCCUAACACAUGCAAGUCGAGCGCGCCCUUCGGGGUGAGCGGCGGACGGGUGCGUAACGCGUGGGAACGUGCCCUUCUCUGCGGAAUAGCCUCGGGAAACUGAGAGUAAUACCGCAUACGCCCUUUGGGGGAAAGAUUUAUCGGAGAAGGAUCGGCCCGCGUUGGAUUAGGUAGUUGGUGGGGUAAUGGCCCACCAAGCCGACGAUCCAUAGCUGGUUUGAGAGGAUGAUCAGCCACACUGGGACUGAGACACGGCCCAGCCUCCUACGGGAGGCAGCAGUGGGGAAUCUUAGACAAUGGGGGCAACCCUGAUCUAGCCAUGCCGCGUGAGUGAUGAAGGCCUUAGGGUUGUAAAGCUCUUUCAGCUGGGAAGAUAAUGACGGUACCAGCAGAAGAAGCCCCGGCUAACUCCGUG
rnacentral:rRNA from 1 species